AUUGAACGCUGGCGGCAUGCCUUACACAUGCAAGUCGAACGGCAGCACGGGUGCUUGCACCUGGUGGCGAGUGGCGAACGGGUGAGUAAUAUAUCGGAACGUACCUUAUUGUGGGGGAUAACGCAGCGAAAGCUGUGCUAAUACCGCAUAAUCCCUAAGGGGGAAAGCGGGGGACCGUAAGGCCUCGCGCAAUUAGAGCGGCCGAUACCUGAUUAGCUAGUUGGUGAGGUAAAGGCUCACCAAGGCAACGAUCAGUAGCUGGUCUGAGAGGACGAUCAGCCAAACUGGGACUGAGACACGGCCCAGAAUCCUACGGGAGGCAGCAGUGGGGAAUUUUGGACAAUGGGGGCAACCCUGAUCCAGCAAUGCCGCGUGAGUGAAGAAGGCCUUCGGGUUGUAAAGCUCUUUUGUCAGGGAAGAAACAGCAGCUCUAACACAGUUUGCGAAUGACGGUACCUGAAGAAUAAGCACCGGCUAACUACGUGCCAGCCGCCGCGGUAA
rnacentral:rRNA from 1 species